GUGGGGAAUAUUGGGCAAUGGGCGAAAGCCUGACCCAGCAACGCCGCGUGAAGGAAGAAGGCUUUCGGGUUGUAAACUUCUUUUGUCAGGGACGAAAAAAAUGACGGUACCUGACGAAUAAGCCACGGCUAACUACGUGCCAGCAGCCGCGGUAAUACGUAGGUGGCAAGCGUUAUCCGGAUUUACUGGGUGUAAAGGGCGUGUAGGCGGGAAAGCAAGUCAGAUGUGAAAACUAUGGGCUCAACCCAUAGCCUGCAUUUGAAACUGUUUUUCUUGAGUACUGGAGAGGCAGAUGGAAUUCCUAGUGUAGCGGUGAAAUGCGUAGAUAUUAGGAGGAACACCAGUGGCGAAGGCGAUCUGCUGGACAGCAACUGACGCUGAGGCGCGAAAGCGUGGGGAGCAAACAGGAUUAGAAACCCUGGUAGUCC
rnacentral:rRNA from 1 species